UCCCUGGAGGACUAGUGGUCAGGCCUCGGCGAACUCAACGCUAUGGCCUGGGUUCGAUUCCUGGCCAGGGAA